AAAUUGCCCUAGUCGGGCCUCCUAAGCGCCGGCCCGAGUAAUCGGCCGACUUGGGCGCCUAGGCGGCCCAGGCGGCGCCUAGUCGGCCAGCGUGCCUAGGGCUUUUUUUCGGUUUAAAUAUCAGUUUUUAGGGCUUUUUUUGCUAAAUCAAACCUGUUAGCGUCUCCCCCUCUUCACUCUCUUCUCACCUCAAUGCUGCUGCCUCAACGCCGCCAAGCUUCAUCGGCCCGCCAGUAGCUCACCGCCGUCGCUGCAUCCAGCUCCAUCCUCGCCGCCAAGUUUCAUCAUCAUCGCCUCUUCUCCGUCGCCUCCUCCUCUUCCUCGUUGCCUCAGCAUCGUCGCCUCCGCCCUCGUCCUCGCCGUCGAGCUCCAUCUCUGCCGCAGCAAGGUCCAUCUCCGUCCACUUGUAACCUCUCUCUCUCUCCCUCUGGUUUGCGUUUGCUGCGUUUUUGAUUUCAUUUUUAUAUUUUUUAUUUUAUUUCAUUUUUCUUUUCUAUUUAUAUAUAAUUAUUAGAUUUAUAUUUAGUUUUUAUUAUUAAUUAUAUAUAUUCUAUAAUAUUUCCAAAAAAAUUGUUGCUUGCUUAUAGUAUAUUGAUGUUUUUAUUAUUGAUUAUAUUUCUGUUUUUAUUAUAUUGUAAAACAUAAAUUAUUUUGCUAUUUUAUUAUCUUAAUUUGAAUCAUUUGAUUAUUUUACAGUCAUGAAUCAUGAUAUGUUAUUGUUAUUUUGAAUACUAAGUGAGGUUAUUCGUUAUAUAGAGGUUUCUAUUGCAAGUUUCUUCAAUUAAAUUAAAAAUGUCGGAUGGGACUCGAAGUACAGGAGCAUCGUCUGAUGUAGCUUCGGUUUUUAAAAGGAAAUCCAAUGAUAUUGGAUGGGAGUAUAGAAUGUUAAUUGAUCCGAAGAACAUGGAUAAAGUUAAAUGUAAGUUGUGUGGUAAAAUUAUGUCUAGCGGAGUUUAUAGAAUAAAAGAACACAUAGGUCAUAUUUCCGGAAAUGUUUCUGCAUGUCCAAAAUCUUCUCCGGAUGAUCAAGCUAAAUGCAAGAAUGCUAUUGUCGAGGCAAAGAGUAAGAAGAAGAAUAAGGAGGAGGAAGAUUUGAUGAGAUCUUUUGUUAAUAUUUCUGAGGGGGGGGAUGAUGAAGAUGAAUUGAAAGAGUUAGGUAGCAAAAAAACGCCCCAUACUCUUGGCCCUAUGGAUAAGUUUGCAACCUCCAUCAGUCCUGAAACUUGUUUGACGAAAAGGCAACAAAAUAUUAAUGAAGCACUCUUUAAAGAAAGAACACAGACUGUUCGUGAGUAUUGUGCUAGAUGGGUGUAUGAAACUGGUAAUCCUUUCAAUGCUAUAGAUCAUGAUAGCUUCAAAUUGUUUGUUGAGGCAGUUGGUCAAUUUGGCCCGGGCUUCAAACCUUCCAGUCAAUACCAGUUGAGAGAACCGUUGUUAAAGGGAGAAGUGGAUAGAACUAAAGAAUUACUAAAGAAGCAUGAAGAAGAGUGGGCACAAAAUGGGUGCUCCAUUAUGACAGAUGCUUGGACAGACAGAAGAAGGAGGAGCAUCAUGAACCUAUGUGUUAAUUCUAAUGCAGGUACUGCUUUUUUGUCUUCCAAAGAGUCUUCAGACGAAGCACAUACAAGUGAACUCAUUUUUGAAUACGUGGACAAGUGCAUCGAGCAAGUUAGCCCACAAAAUGUCAUCCAAGUAGUAACAGACAAUGCUGCCAACAAUAUGGGAGCAGCAAAAUUAUUGAAAUUGAAGAGGCCAAAUAUCUUUUGGACAUCAUGUGCUACUCACACUAUCAAUUUGAUGCUUGAAAGUAUUGGAAAACUAUCGAAGUUUAAAAAAGUCAUUGAUCAGGCCAAGAGUUUGACGAUCUUCAUUUAUGCACAUCAUAAGACAUUGUCCUUAAUGUGAUCAUUUACAAAGAAGAGGGAUAUUGUGAGACCGGGAGUCACUAGAUUCGCUUCUUCUUUCCUUACUUUGCAAAGUUUGAUGGAGAAAAAAGCUCAAAUGAGGACAAUGUUUACUAGCUCUGAAUGGGAUGAGUGCAAAUGGUCAAAGACUGUUAAAGGGAAAGCAACAUAUGCUACUGUGAUGAGCAUUACUUUUUGGAAUGGUGUGAAUUUAUGCCUCAAGGUUUUUGCUCCUUUAGUGAAGGUACUUCGAAUUGUUGAUGCAGAUAAAAAGCCUUCUAUGGGCUUUUUAUAUGGAGAGCUUAAGCAUGCAAAGGAAGCUAUUAAGGAGGCCCUAAAUAAUAUUGAGAAGAACUAUCAGCCUAUUAUUGAGAUUAUUGAAGCAAGGGUGAAAGAUAGGCUAGAUAGUCCACUACAUUUUGCGGCUUACCUUUUGAAUCCCUAUUACUUUUUUAAGGAUAUGGGUAUAAAACUUGAUCAUGAAGUCAUGGAUGGAUUUUUUAACUGUGUGGAGAUGUUUUAUGAUGCCAAUGGUGAAUUGCAAAGUCAUGUUGUAAAUAUUGAGUUGCCAAAAUAUACUCAUAAAGAAGGAACUUUUGGAAAAUCGUGGGCAACUCAAGGGUGUGCAGAAAAUGAUGACAAUUAUAAUCCAGGUAUAAAAUUUAUUUAAUCAUUUUCUUAACUUCUAUUGUGUAUAAGUUUAUUUACUUUAUACUUGUUUGACCUAUGUAGUUAAAUGGUGGAUAACUUAUGGAAAUCACACUCCAAACUUGCAACGAAUGGCGAUAAGGAUCCUCUCAUUAACUAGUAGUUCGUCUGGUUGUGAAAGAAAUUGGAGCACUUUUGAAGGGAUACAUACGAAGAAAAGAAAUAGACUGGAUGUGCAUCGAUUGAACAAUCUUGUCUAUGUCCAAUUUAAUGCAAAACUGAUGAACAAGCAAAAGAGAGAGAAGGAAAGGAAUGUUGAUGUGUUACUUGCUAGUGAUGCCAGCAAUGCACAAGGAUGGAUUGUUGAAGGAGGAGAUGAUGAAGAAAUUGAUCCUGGUACGAGGCUUACUUGGGAAGUGGUUGGUGAAGCAUCUGGAGCAGACGGGAUGUUUCAACCUCGAAGAAGUUCUAGGAUGAGAGAGUUUCAUGAAGAUGAUUUCCAAUCAGAAGAAGAAGAAGAUGAGCAAGAGCUCAAUGAAUUUGAUUUUGAAUUUGAUGAAGAUCAUGUAUUAGAAGAAUAUGGAGAGGAAGAAGUCUAAUUAGAUAGUUAGAUACUUAAAUUCUUCAAGUAUGGUUUAUGUUGCAU